rnacentral:lncRNA from 1 species
AAUGAGCCCUUGUAGUAGAUGUUGGCGAUAGUUGGUCUACUAUAAGAGUAGGGUAUGCAUCAAGAUGAGAUCUAUCAAUCCUAGCGGAAGGGAGUAGUCCUAUAAAAUUUAAGAGGCUAAGUCCUUAAGUCUAUGUAUGGCCAUAACAGAGUGAUUGAUGAAAAGAGUUUUCAUAGAAUCACAUAUGGACUCGAGCUGAUUCAUAUGAUCGAUGAUGAGAUUUGAUGAUUCAUCCAUGA